rnacentral:rRNA from 1 species
GACGAACGCUGGCGGCGUGCCUAACACAUGCAAGUCGAACGAAAAGACGCGGCGUUUGCUGGGUGCUCGAGUGGGGCACGGGGGAGUAUAACGCGAGGAUAACCCCCUUGACUGUGGGGUAACUUUAGGGGAAAGGGGCGAAUAUCGGAGAGAAUCUACUGCACCAUGGUGGGGGAUGGAGAGAUACGGCGGUUGUGGAUGGUCUGGCGGCUUAUGAGCUGGUUUGUGAGGUAGUGGCUUUCCACGGCUUUGAAGGGUAGCCGGCCUGAGAGGGUGACCGGCCACAUUGGGACUGCGGUACGGCCCAGACUCCUACGGGAGGCAGCAGUGGGAAAUAUUGCACAAUGGGCGGAAGCCUGAUGCAGCAACGCCGGGUGCGGGAUGCCGGCCUUCGGGUUGUAAACCGCUUUCGCCUGUGACGAAGCGUGAGUGACGGUAAUGGGUAAGGAAGCACCGGCUAACUACGUG